rnacentral:rRNA from 1 species
UACGGGGGAGCAAGCGUUGUUCGGAUUUACUGGGCGUAAAGGGCGCGUAGGCGGCCAGCACAAGUCAGUUGUGAAAUCUCCGAGCUUAACUCGGAAAGGUCAACUGAUACUGUGCGGCUAGAGUGCGGAAGGGGCAACUGGAAUUCUUGGUGUAGCGGUGAAAUGGCGUAGAUAUCAAGAGGAACACCUGCGGCGAAGGCGGGUUGCUGGGCCGACACUGACGCUGAGGCGCGAAAGCCAGGGAGCGAACGGG